UCCUUCUACGAAAACGAAGAAAUAUGAAAAUGGGAUAUGGGCUAGUAAGCCCAUAGUUUUACCCUUAGGUAGAUAUACCUAUUUAAACAGAUUCGCUCAAAAAAAUUUAAAUAAAAAUAUAAUUUUUAAAAAUACCGAGGCCAAAAUAUUGUUCUAUGUUGUUGUUUUUCUAUGAAACAUAAUCAAAACUUAUAGUAGUGCUCUGUGGUCCAAAGUUUCUAACCUAACCUAUCAUUCUGUUGUUAUAUAAAUGAAACUGAAUGAGAAAUGCUUUUCCUUUUCUCAAUGAAUCAAAAACUUUAUGUGAUACUGUCACCUAAUCUUCUAAAUCUCACAUUUUCCGACUCUUACUUUUGUUAUCUUUAGCAAAUGUAUAUUUUCUACUGGGGAUGUGUCUAUAAGAAUAAUACUUAAAAUACAGGGAAUUAUGAAAAUUAUAUCGAUGAUGAAUAAACUGCAUACUGGAAUUGGAAAUGAAACAAAAAACCCAAAAUAGUUGAUGAUAUUAGCAAAAAUCAGUUAUAUGCAGUUAGAAGGAAGCAUUUUAAAAGAGAAUCCUGCUUUUCAACAUUUCAUUCAGUUAAUUUUAUUUUGAAAAGAAACUUCUUCCUUCUCUACGAUGAAAACAAAAAUGGGAAUAACUUGCCAAAAGUCUAUAAAUAAAGAAUUCUAAUGCAAAAACUCACCCGGAUAAUGUAUUCCAAUAAUCAUUAUAUUAUUUCCAUUGAAUAAAUUGAUCGAACAUA